UUCAGUAGGACUUUAAAAGUCGCUGUAAAAAGUGAGAGCCAAUGAAUAUGUGCAAGCUUUAUAAUCUGACUAGUUGACUAUUCGUUAAGAUAGUCGUUGACAAGUCGACUAUCAAAAUAGUUGUUAGGUAGUUGCAACCUGGCCUGACAUCGAGUAAAUGUCGUUAAAAAGAAUGUUGUUCCAAUACUAGAUUUGAGUUGCUCAACGUCAGGAGCUAAUUCAACAAGUUCUCAACGUUGUUUCAAUGUCUUGUGCCUACUGGAGUGAGGAGAGCCUGUCACUGAAGCAGAUUGUCACCAUGGCGAUGAACAUGUGAAGUAGCACAGAACAUGCUACCAGGGAUUUUGUCAGCAGGCUUACUGCUAAUAAAGUUCGGUUAAAGGGGAACAUUAUCAGCAGACCUAUGCAAGCGUCAAUAUAUACCUUGAUGGUGCAGGAAAAAGACCAUCUAUUUUUUUUAACCGAUUUCCGAACUCUAAAUGGGUGAAUUUUGGCAAAUUAAACGCCUUUCUGUUUAUUGGUCUUUUAGCGAUGACGUCAGAAUGUGACGUCGCCGAGGUAACACAGCCGCCAUUUUCAUUUUCACAUUACAAACACCGGGUCUCAGCUCUGUUAUUCUCAGUUUUUUCGACUAUUUUUUGGAACCUUGGAGACAUCAUGCCUGGUGGGUGUGUUGUCGGAGGGUGUAACAACACUAACAGGGAGCGAUUCAAGUUGCACCACUGGCAAGAAAUCUGCCGCCAGACCCCCAUUGAAUGUACCAGAGUGUCUCCACAUUUGACCGGCGAUGCUAAGACAGACAUGGCACAGAGAUGUAUGGAUAACCUGCAGAUGCAUUUGCAACCAUUAAGUCAACCAAAUCACAAAGGUUUCGGUGAGAAAAUUGUGGUACUAAGUCGGCUCUUACCGGAGACAUGAGCAGAUCUUGCGCCCUCCUGCAGCUGUCAAAGAGGCAGCUGUGACUUUUUUGGCUCCUCCAUGGCUUCCAUCAGAGACACUGGCGGUCACCACACCUCUCCGACUUUCAGAUGCUGCGGAGCUAGCACUGAGCGCUGGGACGGAGAGGCUUCGCGGUGUCUUGGCUGGGUGAGCAGGUGUCGGACACCUCAGUCACCUUGGACGUAUCCUCCCUCAUCCAUGCGGACUGGACACUGGCCGAGAGUGGAGUCGGCUGUCUUGGUUGCUUUGUUGGGUCUGCUUCUGUCUCUGGCCAUGCUCCCUCCACCCCAGUGGACGAUGGCGUGGAACACCGCAGAGGCCACCACAGUGGAUAUGUUUAUUUUACUUUUUAUUCAUAGCUGUAUGUAGAAGUGUCUGCUUGUAUCUGCUGCUUUAAUGUCUUUAAUGUCCUAUGUGUUCUUUAAUGUUUGAUGUUUCCCUCUUACACACAUGGAAGAGGGAUGUGUACUAUGGCUAUGAGUUGUCGUUGUUUUUUUUGUUUUUUUUUUCCCUUGGCCUCAGUCUGCACCCCCUCUCCAAGGCCCAGGCUAAGACCGAUUUUUUUAAUUUAAUUUUAAUCUUCUAUUCCCCCCCCCCCCCUUGUUUACCUGUAUUUCAUCUUUUUUUGUAAGGGGCGCUGGAAGCCGGCAGACCCGUCAGUGAUCCUGUUCUGUCUCCCUGUAAUGUUUGUCUGAUCUUGAAUGGGAUUGUGCUGAAAAUUGUAAUUUUCCUGAAGGAACUCUCCUGACGGAAUGAAUAAAGUACUAUCUAAUCUAAUAUAAUAAGAUCUUUAGGGGCACUUAGCAUAUUAUGAAUUGAUUGUAUUUCAUUUCAACGGGUGACACUGUUUUGCAGUACAAGGUACGAGCUGCUUCAAAGAACCAAUAAAACUUGUAUUUCGAGAUACCACUCUAGUCGGAAUUUACAAAAGAAAAAGCCAUUAUUUACAAAAAUUAAGUUCUACUACCUGCAGGGUAUAUUACAAAAAUAAAAUUCAUAUUUUAAAAGCGUAGACACAGACUUUAACCUGGAAAAAUCAGAAAAAUAUGUAAACAAAAGAGAAAAGUCAGUACAAGAAUUAUGUUGCAUAACUUUUUCCCCCCCCACUAUUUUACUUUACACUACAACUUUUUCCCCCUAAACAUUCAGAGUGUCAUUUCAUGUAUUUCCCCCUGGUAUUUCAUCUUGCCCCCUAUGCUUUCAGUGUAAUACUUCAGCAUUUUAUUAAAAACUGAAUCAAAGUAAAAAGAGGCACAGAUCCCUUGUUACCUUUAAAAGAAAGAAAGAAAAAAAAACCCAGGACAGGAGGAUUAUUCUGUAUAACAACAAUACUUUCUGACAAAGUGUGAGCUUUUUACUUGCAGUUAGAUUUGGGACAAAAACAUAGCAACUUAUUUAAAUUAUAGUCAUUAAUUUAUAACACGGCACUCUCCUGCUGCUGUGUAAAUGAGGUUACGGGGAUGAGGGCAAAAUAGCUUUUAACCAUUAUUAUUACUCAGCGGAUUAGCUCUGACGCACUUUGGAAGCAAAUGGAACAUUUUCAGAAAUACUUUACUUUUCUCUGAAUCCUCUCGUCCAGGGGUGUCAAACUCCUUUUGUAUUGAAGGCCACAUUGCAGUUAUGGCUGCCCUCUGAGGGCCGCUUGUAACUGUGAGUGUGUGUAUAUACAUACAUAAAUACAUACAU